rnacentral:rRNA from 1 species
AAUGAACGUUGGCGGCGUGGAUUAGGCAUGCAAGUCGAGCGAGAACCCGCAAGGGGGACAGCGGCAAACGGGGUAGUAAUGCGUCGGAACGUGCCCUCUGGUCGGGGAUAGCGGCGGGGAACUGCCGGUAAUACCCGCUGAACUCGAGAGAGCAAAGGUGCGAUUCCGCCGGAGGAGCGGCCGACAUGGUAUUAGCUAGUUGGUAGGGUAAUGGCCUACCAAGGCUUUGAUGCCUAGGGGGUGUGAGAGCAUGGCCACACCAUUGGGACUGAGACACUGGCCAGACACCUACGGGUGGCUGCAGUCGAGAAUCUUCGUCAAUGGGCGAAAGCCUGAACGAGCGACGCCGCGUGCGGGAUGAAGGCCCUUGGGUUGUAAACCGCUGUCGAGGGGGAUGAAGGCUUGAAGGUACUCCUUCAAGUUUGACAGAGCCCUGGAGGAAGCACGGGCUAAGUUCGUGCCAGCCGCCGCUGUAAUAC